UGGGGAAUAUUGCGCAAUGGGCGAAAGCCUGACGCAGCAACGCCGCGUGGGUGAUGAAGGUCUUCGGAUUGUAAAACCCUGUCGUCAGGGACGAAGGUUGCUAGUUGAAUAGACUAGUAACUUGACGGUACCUGGAAAGGAAGCCCCGGCUAACUCUGUGCCAGCAGCCGCGGUAAUACAGAGGGGGCAAGCGUUAUUCGGAAUUAUUGGGCGUAAAGAGCGCGUAGGCGGUGUUUUAAGUGAGAUGUGCAAUCCCCGAGCUUAACUUGGGAACUGCAUCUCAGACUGGAACGCUAGAGUACCGGAGAGGGUGGUAGAAUUCCACGUGUAGCGGUGAAAUGCGUAGAGAUGUGGAGGAAUACCAGUGGCGAAGGCGGCCACCUGGACGGUAACUGACGCUGAGGUGCGAAAGUGUGGGUAGCAAACAGG
rnacentral:rRNA from 1 species